AAGAAGCAGAGAACAGGGAAUGUGUGCUUUGGUUUUGACUUCCUAUAUGCUGGGUUCACUCUAGGGGAACUGAUAUCAGGGCUGGUAUUAAUUAAGAGCCAGUAGCAGUGGGGCACUCUCUCUCCUCCCACUAGUCAUCCUCUUGCUUGAGUUGAUACAUUAUGGAACUUUUCAAGUAUUUAUUCAGGGGAAAACUAAGGAGGACAUGGUGGGAUCCGUUUCUGAGCAACCCCUCCAAACACGUCUGACUCUUUGUAGGGAAACUUUAAGCAAAGGCUGAGAAAGCUGUUUUUAUAGAAAGUGUUUUAAGACUCCAGAGCUGUUUCAGAGUCCAACAGAAGAAUGAAGGGAAUUCAAUGACAACUCAGCAUUUUGAGGGUUUGUAAUUCUUGGCCCUUCUAAGCAAAUGUUCUCCUAAUUGCCUUGAAGGUAUCUGACAACGAAAAGAAGGCCAGAGGACAGUAUGUGGAAAAGAAGCAAUGUGACCUUGAGAGCUUCAAUGACACCAACCUAGAAGAAACAGCUAAUGGAGCAGAGGCAUUUUCUGUCUGUGGGAAAACAAUCAGAUCGUCUGUAGUGGGAGAGAAAUGCUAAAGAGUUGACACCUCUGGAGCAACCCUCCACAAAUGAGAGACUGGGGGAAUAUAUGAGGUUACCGCAUCCAACCAUGAUUUCGUGGUUAUUAUUGAUCAGAAGGAAAGUAAGUAGUGAAUUGAUUUAAAGAAAAAUAUUAAGUAAACAAUGUACCAGAGGGUCACAGAUGUGGCAAAACUCACCAAGGAGGUUUGUGUGCAAAGUCUAGGAGCCCAAGGAAGAGUGUGAGGUAUGGAGGCGAAACCUGUCCCAAGAAUCAGCGGUCUGAAUUAGGCCAAGUUCCAUCUUUAAUCGCUGUCUCUCCCCAUCUUAUGGAUACACCAAUUUCAUAAGCAUGUGUUGAUUCUGAGUUAUAUUCCACAACAUCCCUAAGGGUUCCUGGAGGAAAUGAGCAAGAGUUGGCUACAGCCGUGAUACA
rnacentral:lncRNA from 1 species